UACGUAGGGUGCAAGCGUUGCCCGGAUUUAUUGGGCGUAAAGGGCGCGUAGGCGGCUCUGCACGUCCGUUGUGAAAUCGCCCGGCUCAACUGGGCGGGGUCAGCGGAUACGGCAGAGCUUGAGCAAGCUAGGGGGCAAUGGAAUUCCCGGUGUAGUGGUGGAAUGCGUAGAUAUCGGGAGGAACACCAGUGGCGAAGGCGGUUGCCUGGAGCUUUGCUGACGCUGAGGCGCGAAAGCGUGGGGAGCGAUCCGG
rnacentral:rRNA from 1 species